UAAGUACUCCAUCCGUCCAAAAAAGCUUGUCCCAAGCUUGUCCUUCAAAUGGAUGUAUCUAGCACUAGUGCUAGAUACAUCCAUUUGGGGGACAAGCUUUUUCGGACGGAGGAAAUGGUAC
rnacentral:pre_miRNA from 1 species